rnacentral:rRNA from 1 species
CGCUAUCACUCCUACGGGGAGGCAGCAGUGGGGAAUAUUGCACAAUGGGGGAAACCCUGAUGCAGCCAUGCCGCGUGUGUGAAGAAGGCCUUCGGGUUGUAAAGCACUUUCAGUAGGGAGGAAGGUAGUGUAGUUAACACCUGCACUAUUUGACGUUACCUACAGAAGAAAGCACCGGCUAACUCCGUGCCAGCAGCCGCGGUAAUACGGAGGGUGCGAGCGUUAAUCGGAAUUACUGGGCGUAAAGCGCAUGCAGGCGGCCUGUUAAGUCAGAUGUGAAAGCCCGGGGCUUAACCUCGGAAUUGCAUUUGAAACUGGCAGGCUAGAGUCUUGUAGAGGGGGGUAGGAAUUUCAGGUGUAGCGGUGAAAAUGCGUAGAGAUCUGAAGGAAUACCAGUGGCGAAGGCGGCCCCCUGGACAAAGACUGACGCUCAGAUGCGAAAGCGUGGGGAGCAAACAGGAUUAGAUACCCUGGUAG